ACCUGCAGAUGAGACCAGUGCAAACACUUCCAGCAUCACCUCGCAGUACAGGAGUCUCUGAGCCUCAUCCAGGAGCCCCCACUCCUCCUGGGAGAAGGCGACGGCCACGUCCUCAAAGUCCAUCUCCUGUGCUGGACGAUGUUUCUGUCUCAUCAAUGUUUCUGGCUUUCUGUCUCUCUCCCUUCCUCUCUGUAAAAAAAAAUCAAU